UAUGUGGUGGAUUAUGUUUAUAGACUUGCAUCUGUUGAACCAGCCUUGUAUCCCCAGGAUGAAGCCUAGUUGAUCAUGUCGGAUAAGCUUUUUGAUGUGCCAUUGCAAUGGGUUUGCCAGUAUAUAAUUGAAGAUUUUUGCAUCUAUGUUCAUCAUGGAUAUUGGCCUGAAGUUUUCUUUUUUUGUUGAGUCUCUGAAAGGUUUUAGUAUCAGGAUGAUGUUGUUAUCAUAAAACGAUUUGGGAAGGAUUACCUCUAUUUGUAUUUUUUGAGAUAGUUUCAGAU